rnacentral:misc_RNA from 1 species
CUCCCGGGUAACCUACCACCCUUUGUUUAUUACACUUUGUUGCUUUGGCAGGCCUGCCCUCGGGCUGCUGGCUCCGGCCGGCGAGCGCUUGCCAGAGGACUAAACUCUGUUUGUCUAUACUGUCUGAGUACUAUAUAAUAGUUAAAACUUUCAACAACGGAUCUCUUGGUUCUGGCAUCGAUGAAGAACGCAGCGAAAUGCGAUAAGUAAUGUGAAUUGCAGAAUUCAGUGAAUCAUCGAAUCUUUGAACGCACAUUGCGCCCCCUGGUAUUCCGGGGGGCAUGCCUGUCCGAGCGUCAUUACAACCCUCAAGCUCAGCUUGGUAUUGGGCCCCGCCGACCCGGCGGGCCCUAAAGUCAGUGGCGGUGCCGUCCGGCUCCGAGCGUAGUAAUUCUUCUCGCUCCGGAGGUCCGGUCGUGUGCUUGCCAG